AACAAAGAGGGGUGGAAUUCUGAAGCAACCUUGAGAUCUUGGCUGCCCAUGUUAUCAUUGUCUCAAAGGCUACAAAACCUCUGGAAGAAGCCGUGAAAAAGCAAAGAAGACAUGCUGCAAGCAGUUAUGAAGCAAUCUGUCACAGAGAAUGAAAAAGUGCAGAACUGGAGGGAAAGGUAAAGAAGGAUCUGCCAGAAAAAAGCAGCAGACAGGAAGAAAAGCACAAAGCAGCUGAUAAGUAUCCUGGUGCGCCAAGCGGACUCUAUCCAGGCGCUCGUAGCCAUGCAGGCAGAGCACUACCACGCCUGCCUCCCCCAUCCCAAAGAUCUUUCCCUUGUGCCUCAAUGUCGGCUCAAAACCCUCUUCCCCAGCAUCCAGGUUCUUACCACCACCAGCUGCCCCCAACACCUGUAUGUUCACCAAUC